GGCGGCAUGCUUUACACAUGCAAGUCGAACGGUAACAGGGAGCUUGCUCCGCUGACGAGUGGCGAACGGGUGAGUAAUAUAUCGGAACGUACCCAAGAGUGGGGGAUAACGUAGCGAAAGUUACGCUAAUACCGCAUACGAUCUAAGGAUGAAAGCAGGGGACCGCAAGGCCUUGUGCUCCUGGAGCGGCCGAUAUCUGAUUAGCUAGUUGGUAGGGUAAAGGCCUACCAAGGCAUCGAUCAGUAGCUGGUCUGAGAGGACGACCAGCCACACUGGAACUGAGACACGGUCCAGACUCCUACGGGAGGCAGCAGUGGGGAAUUUUGGACAAUGGGCGCAAGCCUGAUCCAGCAAUGCCGCGUGAGUGAAGAAGGCCUUCGGGUUGUAAAGCUCUUUUGUCAGGGAAGAAACGGGUGGGGCUAAUAUCCCCAUCUAAUGACGGUACCUGAAGAAUAAGCACCGGCUAACUACGUGCCAGCAGCCGCGGUAAUAC
rnacentral:rRNA from 1 species